rnacentral:lncRNA from 1 species
AGUAGCUGGAACUACAGGCGCCGCGCCACCACUCCCGGCUAAUUUUUUUAUUUUAUUUUAUUUUUUAUUUUUAGUAGAGACGGGGUUUCACCGUAGCCAGAAUGGUCUUGAUCUCCUGACCUCGUCAUCCGCCCGCCUCGGCCUCCCAAAGUGCUGGGCUUACAGGCGUGAGACACUGCGCCCGGCCCAUACUACUACUUUUUUAAGAGGAGGAAAGGAGGGAAUUUUCCAUGAGUUUGAAUCCUACAAAUGCCACAAACAGCUUCUGAAGCUGAAGCCAUGACAAUGAACUUCCAUGACACAAAGAAGAUGAGGAAUUGGAAGGGAACAGUGCAGGAGAAACACAGUGACAUUGUGUCACAGUAGGUAUUUAUGCCUGCUAUCCUCAUCCGAGAUAAGGUCAAUAACUUCUGCUGGUGAAGCCCAAGUCUGCUGGGGGCUCACAGCAGUUCCAUGACUGUGUCUGCCUGGUGCUAAGAUACUGUGUGCCCGAGCCAUGCUUCCACGAAGAAGCACUCCAAAUCACACCACCUCGAGGAUGAACACACCUUGCAUGUUCCUGAACUCCCACAAUCUCUACUUCACUAUCUGAAGAGGCAAUAUUAAUUUCUUCAUUGAGCGGUGCAUUGCCGGCAGAUAUUUUGUCACUUGCUAGGAAUCCUGGAUGCAAAUGACCUGCCUCUGCAUUCAGCUCCUCUAGAAGCCAGCUGGUCCUCCAGGUAGCUCCUGUGUCCUGGCCGCCUAUAGAAUUAUUGUGCUCUUGAACUACUGCAGCCGCCGAUAAAUUGUACACAGUUACCACUUCCGGGUCAGAGCUGGUGUCAGACAUAUCAUAAUGAGCUACAACUGGAGGUCCAUCUGGUAUCUCUGCAGUGAUUGUCUUGCUGCUCCCUGAAACCUCUUCAUCAUCAUCUGAUGAGCUCGUGCUUGUCACAAGUCAGGUCACUGUCACUGGUACUACUUACUGUCCUGCAGCAGGUUGUACUGCUUGCAGCAACCUCCCGUUCGUGCCUCAGUAGCCUGAUCCUCUCCUUGUGCUUUUGGCUCCAAUGACCUUUAACCCAUUCUGUUUAUCACUGGAUUGCCAGUUUUUCUUGGCAGCCAUAGUGGAUGUUUCACUUUUAGAUCGGGACCUCCUAGACUUGCGCCCAACUGUGGCACCAGACACUCCUGAAGGGUCUCCUUCUACCGCUGUUUCUGCCUGAGAGGGUUCAUUCUCUUCUGCGGAAGACAACGUGUCUGAAUCAGCCAGGUGAUCACUAGAAGAAGGGCAAAGCAUGCAGUGAUUAGAGGAGUCACUCUCAUAAACUUGGCCAGUUGUAGGCUUGUCACUCUCUGUGGAUGCUGAGACUCAGAAGAGUCUCUUCUCAGCUCCAUCAACAAGCAGGGCAUUGAAGAAAGAACUGCAGAAUCUGCUACACCGUCUUUCUGAACUUGAGAUUCCAGUUCUACAGAUUCAUCUUCCUCCUUCGCUGUCUCUUGUUCAGAUGUUUUUGGUGGGACUUCAGACUCAAUGAGUUAUUCGAGUUUUCCCACUGCCUCCUCUAUCUUUGUUUCAGAAUUUCAAGUUAAAUCAUGGAGCAGCCUCUAGGAAAUGGUAUCAAAGAUGCAACAGGAAAGCAAACAAAAAAACUUGUAGGCCAAGCCUGGGAGAUCAGAACUCAGAGGAUUGGGUGCCACUUCCUUAUUCUUACUUGGAUCUAGAAUUCAAAUUUACAUUGUCCACGUGGUCAAGAAACCCUGCGCUCUGCAGUGACUCCGUGCCUCCUGGCUCGCUCAGCGCACCCCAUCAGGGCACACACCAUCCCCCAAACUUAAUUUGAAUUUUAAAUUAGUAUUCUCCUUAUUUCAGUUUUUGGCUUCUGUAAGAGAAUACAUCAUAAUUUAUUGCUUCAGUCUGCAAUUUGCCAUAUCUCCUAAUGACAUUCAGUAGUGAAUUGUUAAAAAGAAUCUGUGUAUCUACAUAUUGAUUAUGAUUAUCUAUCUAUCUAUUUAUCACAAUUCUGGAGGCUGUAAGUCUGAGAUCAAGGCGGCAUCAGGGUUGGUUUCUUCUGAAGUCUCUCUCCUUAGUUUAUAGAUGGCCAUUUUCAUUCUGUGUCUUCACGUUGUCUUUUUGCUGUGUGUGUCUGUGUCCUAAUCACUUCUUAUAAAUACACCAGCCAUAUUGGAUUAGGGCCUACAUGAAUCACCUCCAUUUUACCUUAGAAACAUCUUUAAAGACUAUCUCCAAAUAUAGUCACAUACUGAGGCACUGUGGGUUAGAUUUCAACACAUGAAUUCUGAGGGAAGACAUAAUCCAGCUCCUAACACCACCAAAGUGUAUAGUUUUAUCCAUUAUGGAGUCUCAUGUAUUAUGCUUUGUGAACUCUCUUUUUUUUUUCAUUUUAAUAAAGUUUCCAUUUCUAGGAUGCUUUGUGAGUUCUUGAGUAGGCACCAUGCCUUGCAUUAUUUUGAGUCUCCCAUUUUUGGGGGGUAGAUACCGGUUUGGAAGAUAUGGGUCUUCCAUCAAAGGAGACAUUUGCAUUGAAAAAAUCAGAUAAAUGACAGACUAAUUAAUAAUUUCUAAUUGAUUAUUAAUUAAAGUUAAGGAAAUGUGUUUGAAAGAUAGAUCCCAAUAUAUGAGUACAUUACAAGAAAAUUCAAUAAGAAGCCGACUGAGUGUGAACAACAUAGAGAUAUGGUCAUCCUUGGAGAAGAGUUUUUUAUUAGCAUGAACAUUGUAUGUGUUUAUAUCUAGGAAAAAAAGAAAAUGGACUUAUUCUUAUUAAUACUAAGAUAUUUCUCAGACUAAAUAAGACAAUAUAAUGGUUGAGCCAAAUUAAUUGUGUUAGAACCUCAAUCGAUAUUCCUUGAUCAUGUAGGAUGUUGGAGAUAUGUGCAUGACUCUAAAAUGCUAUCAGGUAGACUGCCUACUGGAAAAAUUCCCAGUGGGCAACAAUACUGGGGGAAAAGUAGGUUAGAGUAAUGUAGUUGAUAGUAAUUUGAUGGCAAGUUGUCUACCGUAGCCUAAAAAGAGUUUGAAAAGGAAAUAUAAUAAUAAUAAAUAAUAAUAACAAAAUAUUUAGAUCAGAUAUUUAGAUUCUAGAGUGAAGAGGUUUUACCAGUAGGCAGAUUUCUGCAUAUGUAAUUUUACUGAAGAAGUGGCUUUCAAACCUUUGACAAUUUCUAUUGGGACCAGGUAACGCAUGUACACACACAGACACACACAAGGACACUAUUUACCUUUCUCAUGUAUGAUGCACUCUAACAUUCUCCAUUUUAUUCAGUUUUGUCUCACUGCAGUCUAUUUCAUUACUGUUUCUGAUACAUUCUAUGUAUUUCAUACCACACCGAGGCUGCACCCAGGAGCUUGAGAAUCACUGCAUUUGAAAGCCUUUUCUAACAAAGGGUAUGAAGACUUGGAAAGGUGUAUAAGUGUCCAGCAUAUGGUGUGCCAUAUCUGCCUCCCUGGAGAUGCCCAAUGUAUAUGAGACAGUCAGUGGAGGCUAAGAAUCUGACUUCCAGAGAGGCAUCAUUACACUGAGAUCCACAAAGCAGUGCGAAGGGUCAAAAAUGAAAGGGAACUAGAACCAAGAUAGAAAGGUUAUCAGGGAAAUGAAGCAUUGUACAGAAGAGCUGGUGUUAGACAGCAUGAAGAGGAGGAUAACAAGUAUAAGGAGUAACACUAUCAUAUUGUUGUGUUUAGGAGAGUCAACCCUGAUGUUAGACAUGUU